CAAGUUUAAGCUUUUUAGAGCGUUUGACUGUUAAUCAGAAGGAACGAUAAAUUAUCGUAAAUUUGA
rnacentral:tRNA from 1 species